UUUUUUUUUUCAAGCAAUGGCAAUGGAGGCUAGGGUUCUUUGUGGUGGAAGGAAGGAGGAAGAAGAUGGGUUGCUGGUUGGUGAGAUUGGGUUCAAGGAGGGUCAGCCAAUGGACCAAAAUUAGGCACCAAUUUUGUGGGGGCUGAAAUUGGCUAGACCAAUUUUUUUAGGCUGAAUUGGGUUGUGUGGAGUCCUAAUGGCAAUAGGACUUAGAGGAGGACGUGGGAAAGGAGUCUUGGGCGUGAGGGAGGUGCUGAAAUGCUGAUGUGGCACUCAAGGAGGGUGCACACAAGGGGUGGAGGCGUGAGAACAAAAGAAGGGAUAAGGAUAAACUUGAGUUUGUUAGGGAAAUCUCAUCCAAAACCAACCCAAUUUCAAAUGGCGUGAAGGGGAGGCGUCCCACCUUCCCUCAGCCCCUUUGGCAUCGCACCAGCAAGAGGAGUAGCCUCUCUUCAUAAUUUCGAAAUCCAAAACUAACUUCAUUCAUCAUACCCUUCUUUAUAUAGAAAGAAAGGUUGGCACAGAAUUUUAAAUUGGACUCCUAAUUACAUGAGGACUCAAUUCAAAAUUUAAAUUUUCUAAUUGACCAAUCAAAGGCCUUGACACCUAAGCCUAGACACCUAGGAAUCCAUUCCUUAUGGCGUGUGGAUUGAAACCCAUCAAAAGAAAUUCAGCCGCAUGCCACGAGUUGGAAUCUAGGUGGAACUCCUUCUCGGGUACCAACAUCAGCAUGAAGUUCGGGAGACUCCUCAAAUUUCAUCUGAUCUCCAAAUUUCAUGUUCUUAUAGUCAUUGGAAAGCUACGGAUGUCUACUUUCCAACAAAAUUUGAAUCAACUUAAUCAGACUUCUGUAGCUUCCAAAAUCUUCAAAAUACCAUAUGGUGUUCAAUCUGUCACGGAUUUCAACUGGAUUCUGAGCUCUGAAUUUCUUCCACAUGUGAGAGAUCUUCAUGGUUGAACUUCUCCACGUGAUGAGUGAUGAUCUUCACGGCAUUAGGAAUCCUUCUUAAUGGCACUCAAUUAUAAGGACUCAAUCUUAAACACAUGGACUCAAUCCUCUCACAUAAGGACUCAAUUUCACUCAUACGACUAAACUAAAUUCUCCACACAUGACCCAAUAUGACUUGACUCAAUCCUUGCAUAACAUGGACUCUUUUGAUGCCACUUGGCAUUCAAUUACAAACAUAAAUCAGCAAAUUGCAAAUCCAAAAUAAGAACUCAAAUAAACCCAAAAUAAAAGGACUCAAUGUGACCAAAAUAAAAUAGACUCAAUCCAAUUAAAUGCUAGAAAUUACGAACCCAAUGUGUUUUCGGGCACUCCCAAGCAAGAAUCCAAACUCGACGUACAUCCAUUAUGAUU
rnacentral:lncRNA from 1 species